CAGGAUACCUUUCCACCUGAGCUGUGUAACACUCAGUAUUCUGUGGCUCCCGAGUUCCAGGAUACCUGACCCACUCCUGUUCCAUCCUGAUCCGACUGAAAUGACAACAUUUGGUGCCGUGACUCAGAUAGGCUCUCCUGGUGCCUGUGCUCCCCUUCGUGGUCUGAGCCGCACUGGGACCCUAUCUCUCAUCUCCAGUUGGCCUGCAGCAGACUUGCCUUCCAGUUCACCAAUCGCUUGACACUACAUCCACCAUCAACGAUUGGAAAUUGAAUCACGAUGAGCAAUUCAUCUUUCCAGGAUAUAAAAGUUCAAACCAAAGCAAUGUGAAUAUUGCUGCCUGAUAACAAGGUCCCUGAGAGCUACCAAAAGAGAGAAGACCUAAAUGAAUCAAGGAAACACACCACCAUCAAGAACAAAGGCAAACAGAGACUUCAUUUCUGUGAUUUCUUUUCAUGAAACUGAAAUCCCCAGAUGUUUUGCAAAGCAUUUAAGUACAUGCCAGCAGCAGAGGAAGUGCUGGCAUUCCUAUCUGCCUGAGUAGACUACAUACGGUCAACUCACUCCCUGCAGAGUACACACAGAAAGCUCCUGUGCUAUCUUUUUCUAAUAAAAUUUCUAGUUUUAUGGGGAAUGCAGUGAGAAGAUGUGUGGGAGAACACAGGUUUCAUGGGGGAUGCAGUCGUUGAUACUCAAGACUCCUGCCAGUCUGUUAGGAAAAUGUUAGAAAACUCGGAGUUAGGACAAGCAGUGAAAAGGAAAACAGGAGUCCAUGGUGUACCUUGAGGUGGAGGCAGAGUGAAAAUAUGUCACAGAAACAAAAAAUAAUGAGGAAGGAUGAUAAAGAGAAGAAAGGUAUGGGGGCAGGAAAGAGAAAGAAAAACUGGAAACACCAAGGAACAUGUCAGAGAAGGCAAAGUAUCUUCCGGACUUCAGCAAAGACAAAAUUUGCACGGAGUAGGGUAUAAAACAAUGGUCCUGGAACAUUUUAGGUUUUGUUUUUUAAGCUGCCCUACAUUUCAGUACACCUACUCUCUUUAGAUCCAUAGGUAACAAAGAGCUCCCACAAGCCUGUUCUCAUUCCGUCUUCAGUAGAUACUGAAAUAGUUCAGCUGUGAACUCAGAUAAACUGAGGGUUAGAAGACUGAAAUGUGGAGACCCAUUGGGGGGGAGUUUAUUUUAGUUUACAGGAACAUGAAUAAAUGCAUGGACAUAGAAAGAGUGGUGAGUCUACAUUAGGUGAAAAGUUGUGAAGAGCAGCUAAGAAGAGCUUGGCCUUUGUGUUACAUUCUAUGGGCAUCAGCUAAAGGGUCUGAAAAGGUGAUUACUAUUAAUUGAUUUUGACAGUAAGCGAUUGUGAAGUGCCUGCUGCAUGCUAGACACUGAGCUGAGUAUAGCACAUUCCUCUCUUCAUACAAAUAUAGAUUAAGUAGGUUUAGUAGGCUAAGAAUCCUAAGUAAAUGAAAAUCUAGUGCUCAUCGUUUCUAGCAAUGCAGUAACAUGUUUCUGCUUACUUAUGGGGAGAAGUCACUUUUAAUCUAAGUGUUGGUGUUAGAGGUGGAAACAGAAGGUAAAAGAAGCUGUUGAAAUAGCAUUUGAAAGAUCAGUAGGUAUCUUUUAGGUGCAGAAGCAGAGAAAGUAAGUGAAUCCUGGAUAGAGUCAGAAAAACAACCAGGGUCCUGAAGCUCUGUCAGCCAUCCUUGUUGGAGACAUUGUGAACAAUUGUAGAUGUUGGAGUUCAGGGUUGGGGGCAUGGAGUGGGAAACAGCUAUGCAGGCCAAUCAUCAUGGUUGAGUCUACAUGGUGGUGUUCUGAUCCCAGCACUACUGUGGAGAACAGGUUUGGGUGGAAGUCAGUGGUCAUGUUAAAAGAUCAUUGCAACUGUCAUUCAAAGACUUCACCAAGCAAAGCACACCAACAGCUAUGGGGAGAGGGGAAGUCUGGUCUAACAGUUAAGACAGCAGACCCCAAAAGAGUGAGGAGUGUCCAUGACUGGCAUUGUAGCUCCUAACCUGAUCUUUUAGGUAGAAGAGUGCUCAACGUUUUAGUUAGGGUUUCCAUUUCUGUGAUAAAACACCAUGAUCAAAAAUUUGGGAAAGAAAAACUUUAUUUAAGUUUAUAACUGUCAUUGAGAGAAGUCAGGGCAUGAACUUG